UUUCAGAGGGGGACAACAGUUGGAAACGACUGCUAAUACCGCAUGACGCAUUUUGAUCGCAUGUUCGAAAUGCCAAAGAUUUAUCGCUGAAAGAUGGCCUCGCGUCUGAUUAGAUAGUUGGCGGGGUAACGGCCCACCAAGUCGACGAUCAGUAGCCGGACUGAGAGGUUGACCGGCCACAUUGGGACUGAGAUACGGCCCAGACUCCUACGGGAGGCAGCAGUGGGGAAUAUUGGGCAAUGGGCGCAAGCCUGACCCAGCAACGCCGCGUGAAGGAAGAAGGCUUUCGGGUUGUAAACUUCUUUUAAGUGGGAAGAGUAGAAGACGGUACCACUUGAAUAAGCCACGGCUAACUACGUGCCAGCAGCCGCGGUAAUACGUAGGUGGCAAGCGUUGUCCGGAUUUACUGGGUGUAAAGGGCGUGCAGCCGGGCAUGCAAGUCAGAUGUGAAAUCUCAGGGCUUAACCCUGAAACUGCAUUUGAAACUGUAUGUCUUGAGUGCCGGAGAGGUAAUCGGAAUUCCUUGUGUAGCGGUGAAAUGCGUAGAUAUAAGGAAGAACACCAGUGGCGAAGGCGGAUUACUGGACGGUAACUGACGGUGAGGCGCGAAAGCGUGGGGAGCGAACAGGAUUAGAUACCCUGGUAGUCCACGCUGUAAACGAUGGAUACUAGGUGUGCGGGGACUGACCCCCUGCGUGCCGCAGUUAACACAAUAAGUAUCCCACCUGGGGAGUA
rnacentral:rRNA from 1 species